GAAGCCACAAAAGGAGAAGGGUUGGAGAUGCCUUAUAAAUCGGCAUGUUCUACUAUUCCUUAUCAUCCGGCGCUAUGUGUAUAUAUAGGAAAGAACUCAAAUUGCACUAGUUUUAAGGAACUAAAAAAAAUUUGUUGCAGACCCGAUUCCGGAGUUGCGUACUUCUCCGAUGCUGCCGGUGCACGCAAAGGAUUUCGUCACCACUAUCUCCUCCGAUAUUUCGAUGCCCUUUGAUUUCUCUUUGAACUGUUAUCAAUCGCGGUUGCUCUUGAUAUUCCCAAAAGGGAAGUAAGAGUAAGAAAGUAUAAGAAAACCCAAUUGAAAGGUACCAGAAAUUAUGGCUUCUAUAUUCGGCCGCAGACUCUUGCCUGGUAACAUCGUUUGGCGUAUUACACAAUUAAAAGAUAAUGUGGAGUUGUAUUCGCUUUCUUUGGAUAUAAAACAUAAAAUUCCUUUUGGUGUUUGUAAUUGUUCAAGGCAGUGGAGCAGUUUAGCUGGCACAAAGAAAGUAGAUUUUACAGACCUUACUCGUCCUCACACAUGGUACCCACAUGCACGAAGGAAAAAACGGAAUGUUAUUUUACAUGUGGGUCCAACAAACAGUGGUAAAACACAUCAUGCCCUCAAACAACUCCAGUCAAGUUCUUCUGGUAUUUAUUGUGGACCAUUGAGGCUGUUGGCAUGGGAGGUGGCAAAAAGGUUGAACAAGGCAAAAGUUCCUUGUGACCUUAUAACUGGGCAAGAAAGGGAGGAAUUUGAUGGUGCAAAGCAUAAGGCUGUUACUGUAGAAAUGGCUGAUGUGACUUCUGACUAUGGAUGUGCUGUUAUUGAUGAGAUUCAGAUGAUUGGGUGUAGAACAAGGGGUUUCUCAUUUACACGUGCUUUAUUAGGAAUAUCUGCUGACGAGCUGCACUUGUGUGGAGAUCCUGGAGCUGUUCCUUUAAUUGAGGAAAUCCUUAAAGUGACUGGUGAUAGUCUCAAGGUUGAAUACUAUGAGAGGCUCUCACCCCUUGUCCCGUUAAAGGUUCCUUUGGGCUCUUUCUCCAAUAUACGGACUGGCGACUGCAUUGCGGCCUUUUCACGUUCUAACAUUUAUAUGUUUAAGAAACAAAUUGAAAGUGGAGGAAAGCAUCUUUGCUCUGUUGUUUAUGGUUCAUUGCCACCAGAGACUCGGACCAGACAGGCAACAAUGUUCAAUGAUGCAAACAGUGACUCUGAUGUUCUGGUGGCAAGUGAUGCGAUUGGGAUGGGUCUCAAUCUUAACAUAUCUAGAAUAAUCUUUUCUACAUUACAAAAAUUCGAUGGCGUUGAAAUGCGGGAUCUGUCUGUACUUGAGAUAAAACAGAUUGCCGGAAGGGCAGGCAGGUAUGGAUCUAAGUAUCCUGCUGGUGAAGUGACUUGUCUCUCUUCUAAGGAUCUACCUUUACUUCAUUCGGCACUGAAUUCUCCAUCUCCUAUACUUGAGAAAGCUGGGCUAUUUCCAAACUUUGACCUUCUAUAUAUGUAUUCUCGUCUACACCCAAAGCAUGGCCUAUACGACAUACUGGAACACUUUGUAGAUAAUGCAAAGUUGUCAGCGAAUUAUUUUAUCUCUAAUAUUGAAGACUUGUUGAAAGUUGCUUCUAUUAUUGAUGAGUUGCCGCUUAGUUUGCAUGAUAAGUAUCUCUUUUGUAUAAGUCCUGUUGAUGUGGACGAUGACCUCUCGUCUCAGGGCCUCACCCAAUUUGCAACAAAUUAUUCAAAGAAUGGCAUUGUUAGACUUCGAGAAAUUUUUACUCCGGGGACGCUUCAGGUGCCAAAGACACAAGUUGCACUCAAGGAACUUGAAUCUAUUCACAAGGUUUUGGAUCUAUAUGUGUGGUUAAGUUUUCGGCUAGAAGAGAGCUUUCCAGACCGUGAGCUGGCUGCAUCACAGAAGGCUAUUUGCAGCAUGUUGAUUGAGGAGUUCUUGGAAAGACUAGGAGGGUGGCAGAAACCAAUGUCAAGAAAGUUGCCUCACCAACACCAAAGGAGCAGCCGCUUGAAUUCACAGUUAUUCCAAGUUGCCACAAAAGAAUAUUAGCCAUUUUUUGUUAACACAGAAAACCGACCACUACAGUGGGGUUUUAUAAGAAAAACACAGUUUUAAUCCCUCAAUAGUGAUAAUCCUCAAGACCAGAACUAGAACUAGAUUUCAUAAUUCUUUAUCAGAAGACAAAGGUCGUUGUCCUCACUACUACGAGCAUUCAGCAUAGUUACUGACAGGGGCGGAGCCAGAAAUUUCAUCCGGGGGCGAAAGAUUAAAACGAACGAGAUAUUAUAUCUACAACACAUACAUACUUAACCAUUUAAGCUACUUCAUCUUUGAGUAAUUUAUAUCUAUACUAUUUACUUAUUUCCAAACAUUUACUAUAUAUAUAAAAGGUUCCCUAUAUAUAAAAGGAGGGAUGGGGGAGGGGGCAGCUGCCCCCACUGCCCCGUACUGGAUCCGUCCAUGGUUAC